UAAUGAUAAUGAUAAUGAUGAUGGUGAUGAUGAUGACGAUGACGAGGAUAAUGAAAACAAUCAUCAUCUUUAUCGCAUCACAUCAUUAGACAUU
rnacentral:pre_miRNA from 1 species